GUUUCAUUUUGAUUGCAUAAUUGAGUUCUAUGACUUAAUGGGUAUUGUGUAUUCAUUUUGUAUUUUGUAGUUUCUGUCAAUGAAGUUAGCUUCUGUGAAUCCAAGGUUGGAAUUUAACAUGGAUAGUCUCUUGUCAAAAGAUGUAUUUCAGCCUAAUGGCUUUUCCCUCAUCAAACAUACCCAUUAGAUUCCUCUGCUUCUACUUUCUUUGGACAACAGACCCAGGAAUUUCCACCAGUACAUACUAAUCUUUCCAAUGGGGACCAUACAAGCACCACAUUAUGCCAAAACAACGGCAUGCAAUUACCUCCGGUCGAUGAAUUCGGCCAAGGUAUUCCAUAGUUUCCAACAUUGUGUGAAGAUGAUCUGCAAAGCAUUGUUCAGAUGGGGUUUGGUCAAGAACCCAAACCACAAUACAGGAUUUCAAUCAUCCCACAUGAAAAUUGAACUGUGGUCACCAUUGAUUUGUCCUCAACUCAAGGCCCAGAGGCUGCUGUAUAUUAAUGGAUUUUUUUUUACGAGAAAUAUUAAAAGAAAAAUCUUGAUGCUUACCUAAAAUAUAGUAGAAUCACAAGUUGCUUCAUUCACCAACUAAAUUUGAUUUGUUGGAUGAAGAACUGUGUUGAAUCAAGAAGGGUUGACUUUUGUUAAAUCUAUUUUCUAUAACAGCUUUAGAUA